rnacentral:rRNA from 1 species
AUUGAACGCUGGCGGCAGGCCUAACACAUGCAAGUCGAGCGGAGCGGCGGACGGGUGAGUAAUGCAUAGGAAUCUGCCUGGUCGUGGGGGAUAAGGUCAGGUAACGGGCGCUAAUACCGCAUACUAUCAGAUGAGCCUCGGUGGGAUUAGCUCGUUGGUAGGGUAAAGGCCUACCAAGGCGACGAUCCGUAACUGGUCUGAGAGGAUGAGCAGUCAGACUGGAACUGAGACACGGUCCAGACUCCUACGGGAGGCAGCAGUGGGGAAUAUUGGGCAAUGGGCGAAAGCCUGACCGAGCCAUGCCGCGUGAGUGAAGAAGGUCUUCGGAUUGUAAAGCUCUUUAAGUUGGGAGGCGUUACCUACAGAAUAAGCACCGGCUAACUUCGUGCCAGCCGCCGCGGUAAUUC